GGCGAAAACGCGAGAUUAAUCUCGCACUCUCGCCGUCGCGAUUUCGCUCCCUCGCCGUCGCGUUUUCGCAUUCUCGCGUUCUCGACCUAAAGUCGAGAACGCGAGAACGCGAGAUUAGUCAUUAACGGCCGUCCUCGCACUCUCGCUCCCUCGCGUAUGGAAGUUCCCAUAAUUUCACAUGCGUGUUUAACUCAAAGCGUCUGGAGGAUCGGGAUCCUUUUCCGAAUUCGAUUCGGCAAAUAAAAUGGCUUCGAGUUUCGAAGAUACCAGGGAUGAUAUAUUGAGGGAUUUGUUCAUCAAAGAUUACACCAAUUUGGAAAUGCAAACAAAGCUGCACUAUAAAGGAAUUAGUAUGAGGAAGAAAGAAAAGGCAGUGGUCAAAACCUGGGAUACCGCAGCCUGACUAAGAGACUUUUGACAAAGCAUGGCAUGGCAGUUGGAAGAAAAUCAGUAUCUAGCAUUCUUAGGCAAAUUGACCCAAAAGGUGUGGAGCUUAGGACACAUCACUGCCUGAUCAGGAGGACAUACUACAACAAGGGGCCCAACUUCCUGGUCCAUAUAGAUGGGUAUGACAAAUUGAAGCCUUUUGGAUUAGCCAUACAUGGAGCCAUCUGUGGGUGACAAAGUCUGUGAACAUUUCAGAAUCUUAAUUAAACUUCUGUUUUGACUGUUCAAAUCCUCCUUUGCUCUUGAUCUCUUGUUUAACCCUAAACAGUUAUUGUUAUUCAUUGUGUGAUUUGAAAAGGCAAACAAGUGGUAAGUUAAUUUUUUCUCUUGGAGGGCAGCAUGUAUAUUUCUCUAGUUGCAUAACAUGUAUAUAUAGGAACUCCCUUGGUUUCUUUUUGUGAUCUGUACCAAGAUACAUGUAUGUAUGAUAGUUUUUAGACUGAUUGUGAUAAAAGUGACCAAUAGACAGACCAUCUUGAUUCAAUCGUUCUAUUAAUCUAGUUAUUAUGUCACAAUAUGAUGUUAUUCCUAUUGGCAUGACUGUUAACAUAGAAAUGGGAGAGAGAAAAGCAGGGAAAAUAUCAUACCGUACUCAAUUAAAGUUCAUUUAAUGGUGUGCAGCAAUAUCUUUAUCUAGUUUGAAAUAAGUAUCAUUAUGGUUUAUAUAGUAACUUUGAAGUUUUAAUGCAUAGUAAUAAUGAGUUAGUAUCUGAGUAUUCCUAUAUAAUCAAAUUCUUGACUAAGUCUUCUUUUAAUUCAAGAUCAAACUGCAUAUAACAGGAAAAAAAUCAUAAAAUAUUGCCAUAGGUUAUUUGAUAUUAAUUUGGAAUGAAACCUAAGUUUCAUGAAUUGUAUUUGAAAUUGCUCUUGUUUCAAUUGUAAAAGUUGUAAAUAUUUAAUAUUACAGAUUUUCACGACGUGUCUUAUGGUUAAAAGUUGCCAGAACCAACAAUGACCCAAGAGUGGUUGCCUCAUACUUUCUAGAGUUUGUAGAAGAGAUAAAUGGAGUUCCAAGGUGUAUACUUACCAGACAACCAGAGGACUGUCGUUCUGGAAAACCAGAGAUGAUGUAUCUACACCCCGAGCUAUACAUGAAAUUAAGUGAUGUGGAGUCCUUGAAGAGUUUCUGUAGUUAUCCAAGCUGCUAUGGAUGCACAGAGGAGAUGAAGGAACACGUCACGUCUAUUUUGCUUGAAGG